GACGAACGCUGGCGGCGUGCUUAACACAUGCAAGUCGAACGAUGAAGAAGAGACACGCGAACUUCGGUUCAACUUUCACUUCGGAUUAGUGGCAGACGGGUGAGUAACGCGUGAGCAACCUACCUCUUACAAAGGGAUAGCCUCGGGAAACCGUGAUUAAUACCAUAUGACACAUUCAUAAGGCAUCUUAAGAAUGUUAAAGCUACGGCGGUAAGAGAUGGGCUCGCGUCCCAUUAGCUAGUUGGUGAGGUAACGGCCCACCAAGGCGACGAUGGGUAACCGGCCUGAGAGGGUGAACGGUCACAGUUGAACUGAGACACGGUCCAAACUCCUACGGGAGGCAGCAGUGGGGAAUAUUGCACAAUGGAGGGAACUCUGAUGCAGCGACGCCGCGUGAGCGAUGAAGGAAUUCGUUUCGUAAAGCUCUGUUCUAUGGGAAGAAAAGGACUGUACCAUAGGAGAAAGCCCCGGCUAAAUACGUG
rnacentral:rRNA from 1 species